rnacentral:misc_RNA from 1 species
GAUGAAGAACGUAGCGAAAUGCGAUAAGUAAUGUGAAUUGCAGAAUUCCGUGAAUCAUCGAAUCUUUGAACGCACAUUGCGCCCCCUGGCAUUCCGGGGGGCAUGCCUGUCCGAGCGUCAUUUCUGCCCCCAAGCACGGCUUGUGUGUUGGGUGUGGUCCCCCCGGGGACCUGCCCGAAAGGCAGCGGCGACGUCCGUCUGGUCCUCGAGCGUAUGGGGCUCUGUCACUCGCUCGGGAAGGACCUGCGGGGGUUGGUCACCACUAUAUUUUACCACGGUUGACCUCGGAUCAGGUAGGAGUUACCCGCUGAACUUAAGCAUAUCAAUAAGCGGAGGA